AUUGAACGCUGGCGGCAGGCCUAACACAUGCAAGUCGAGCGGAGCGGCGGACGGGUGAGUAAUGCCUAGGAAUCUGCCCGGUAGUGGGGGAUAACGUACGGAAACGGGCGCUAAUACCGCAUACUAUCAGACGAACCUAGGUCGGAUUGGCUAGUUGGUGGGGUAAAGGCCAACCAAGGCGACGAUCCGUAACUGGUCUGAGAGGCUGAUCAGGCACACUGGAACGGAGACACGGUCCAGACUCCUACGGGAGGCAGCAGUGGGGAAUAUUGAACAAUGGGCGAAAGCCUGAUCCAGCCAUGCCGCUUGUGUGAAGAAGGUCUUCGGGUUGUAAAGCACUUGAAGUUGGGAGGCGUUACCAACAGAAUAAGCACCGGCUAACUUCGUGCCAGCAGCCGCGGUAAUUC
rnacentral:rRNA from 1 species